GCGAGCUGACGGAGCACGCCGCGUGAGUGAUGAAGGUCUUCGGAUCGUAAAACUCUGUUAUUAGGGAAGAACAAACGUGUAAGUAACUGUGCACGUCUUGACGGUACCUAAUCAGAAAGCCACGGCUAACUACGUGCCAGCAGCCGCGGUAAUA
rnacentral:rRNA from 1 species